rnacentral:lncRNA from 1 species
UUGCUUCCCUUUUUGACAAGAAUCACAAAUAGAGUCGUUUUCAAAUCUCAAAUUGGGAAGACCAAUAACUAAGUUUUGUGAAAUCAAUUUGUUCAAAAUAUGCAUGUUUAUAUGUGCUACUCUAUGAUGCCAUAGCCAAGUAUCAUCCUCUUUGCUCAUAAUGCAAUCCACAUAUUCGGGUGAGGAGUUAGCAAGAUCAACCAUAUAAAUAUUAUCCACUCUAAAACUACGAAGGAUAAUUUUGAAAUCACUACGUCUAAAUACUAAGCAUUCAUCCGAAUCAAAUAAGG